UACGAAGGGGGCUAGCGUUGCUCGGAAUCACUGGGCGUAAAGGGUGCGUAGGCGGGUCUUUAAGUCAGGGGUGAAAUCCUGGAGCUCAACUCCAGAACUGCCUUUGAUACUGAGGAUCUUGAGUUCGGGAGAGGUGAGUGGAACUGCGAGUGUAGAGGUGAAAUUCGUAGAUAUUCGCAAGAACACCAAUGGCGAAGGCGGCUCACUGGCCCGAUACUGACGCUGAGGCACGAAAGCGUGGGGAGCAAACAGGG
rnacentral:rRNA from 1 species